CAGUCGCCGCGGUAAUGCGGAGGGGGCUAGCGUUGUUCGGAAUUACUGGGCGUAAAGCGCACGUAGGCGGCUUUGUAAGUUAGAGGUGAAAGCCCGGGGCUCAACCCCGGAAUUGCCUUUAAGACAGCAGAGCUAGCAGGUGAGAGAGGUGAGUGGAAUUCCGAGUGUAGAGGUGAAAUUCGUAGAUAUUCGGAAGAACACCAGUGGCGAAGGCGGCUCACUGGACCGACACUGACGCUGAGGCGCGAAAGCGUGGGGAGCAAACAGGAUUAGAUACCCGCGUAGUCCCUGUCUCUUAUAC
rnacentral:rRNA from 1 species